GUACUUACCUUGACGGGUCUAUGGGUAAUCAUUAAGGCACAUAGCCUAGAUUGGUGACUUAUAUUGCACUUUAUAGGGGUGCCCGUCUAAAGUUAGCCCAUGGUUGAGCCUACGUCAUAAUUCGUGUUAGAAGGGAAUGUGUUCGCGCAACCCUUA